UUCCCUUCGGGGGGCGAGUAGAGCGGCGAACGGGUGAGUAACACGUGAGCAACCUGCCAUCUGGGUGGGGGAUAACUCCGGGAAACCGGGCUAAGUACCGCAUAAUGUUUCCGAGUCGCAUGGCUUGGUAACCAAAGGGGGGAUCUUCGGACCUCCUGCCUGAUGAGGGGCUCGCGCCUGAUUAGCUUGUUGGUGAGGUAACGGCUCACCAAGGCUACGAUCAGUAGCCAGUCUGAGAGGAUGGCUGGCCACACUGGGGUUGAGAUACGGCCCAGACUCC
rnacentral:rRNA from 1 species